UACGCCUUCUAUUUUCCACUGCUUAGAUACGUGUCCAUAAUAAUGAUGCUCCGUUUUCGCCACCGACGAUCUAUCGAUUUUUUCUUAUCUGCUCUAUAUUCCGGUUUUCAAACUAUGUCUUGGAAAUAUUGGAGACAAUCCUUCGACUUCUCUUCCUUACCCUUCUCUAUUUAAGAAAAAGUUGGCUCCUCUUCCUUACAAUGAACCACCGUCACCCCAUUUACCGGCUCCACCUGAUGUUGUUCCUACUGUUGGUGUAAAACGACGAAACGAGCGGUGACCGGUGGUUCCCAACAAAAACCAUAAACCGAUUUCCAUCGUGUGUGUGUCCAUCUCCACUUUGAAUCGUGAAUCAAUGAAUACGGUUACGCCACCAGGUAUGUGUUGUUAGCGAGUGGAAAAGAAUGACUGAGGUGUAGACGUUGGAAUUGACCGACAAGGAAGCAGGAAGAAACAAUCUCACUGCUUAUAAUCUCCAUCAAAAGUUUAUUUUGAAGUUUAUUACUGUGCAGGGGUCAAAUUGAUUGAAGCUUCAGCGCCGGUGAUGGUUGCGGUGGUUAUGUUAGUCUUAAAGAAUAUCAGUUCCUAUGCGCGUAUGUGAUGUUUAUGGUGUUUGUAGUUGUUGUGUCUACCGGUUUUGACAAUAGAAUCGGAGGAGAUACAGUGACAACGAUGAUUUUGAUACUCAACUAUAUCAGAAACAGGAUUACAUGCAGAAUCGGAGGAGAUACAGUGACAACGAUGAUUUUGAUGCUGAUGAUAACUGCGGUGGAUAUAGGGUUCUGCCACAGGAGUCUCUAGCGAGGACGAGAAUUUAAUUUCAUCGACCCAUUUUGUGAAAGAGAAAUUGAAGAUUGUUUCUGCAAGUAUGGACCCAUUGUUGAAAUGGACCUGUAAAUUCCUCCUAAACCCCUUGAUUUUGCCUUUGUAGAGUUUGAAGAUCCUCGAGAUGCUGAAGAUACGAUUGGUGGACAUGAUGGAUAUGUACUAAUUUCAUACAAUAUUUGAAUUAUCAGAAUGCAAACAAAGAGACACAUGAUGUUAUUGAAGCUACCCAACAGUUCUUUGAAGGGUAGAAUUGUAAUUUUGGUCCAACAAAAGUAGAGCAACCACAUUUAGCAACAGACAACAAUGGUGCCCCAACAACCUUUUAAACACAAUGCAAGUUUUCUGACUUUCCCAAGACAGUUGCAAACAAGCAUCCAGGGACACUCACAACAUUUGGUGUGUAUCUUCUCAUCCUUCUGCAAAUUUUAUUAUGGCAGGGACUGAUUAUCGUGUCCCACAUUUACAUGACAUGAAUACUUUCCACUGUUAUCUCUAAGCAAAUGUAGAAGAAAUUCGUGCCACCAGUGCAAUGGUUUGUUUUGUUUAUUGGCUUUUCUUAAUAUAAUUUUGAUUGAGUUGUUAACUUUUGGUAAUGUAGGGUGGACUAUGGAGGAAGGAAAAUAGAAAAUGAAGAGUUUUAGAUAAGUUUUCCCUCACUUUGUGUUUGGAGGACAAUGCUCCAAUAGGAAGAAAACUUGUAAUGUGAAAGCUAAUGAUGACAUCAUCCACCAACAUAUUACAUAAUAUGUUACCCUUUUCAUGUAGGGUUUAGAUGGGGUUGAUUUACAAAUGAAUUUAAAUUGAAUGCAAAAAAAUAAUAUUUUAUGCACUUAAAUUUCUUCGGUUAAUAAGAGGCAUGCAUUGAGAACACAUAUGAUAUAAUCCAAGGUCUUCAUAUUCCGAGCGUUGUCCUUCUUUGUGAAGCUGAUGUGAUUGCUAAGAACUACUUGAUUCAUUACUGAAAGUUUGUGUAAUGUUGAUUUGUAGGUAUACGAUUACUAAUACUCAACCGAUUUUUAGAGAAUUGUAUUGAAACAUUGUCCAUAUUUUUAUACUGGUUAUGUGUGUUUUAUAGGGUCUUCGUAUUGGGCAUAACCUAGCAUUAGCCACUGCUUUAUUUAAUAUUUGGGAGGUAAUACUUUACUUUUUUUUUAACAGGUUGUUGCUGCCGCACAUGCUAUUUACUUUGUAACACAAAGGGGUCAUUAUAUUAUAGCAUACUACAACAUAUUUGUGUAUUUGUUAAUGGGCGAAACAUAGACAAUAGCAACAUACUUUAUUGUAGCUACCAAUUAAAACAAUGUACUAUAUUUCCACACAAA